ACGUGCGCGCAAGGGCGGGCGCCCGCGGGCGAGCAGCGUGACGCAGCGACGGCCCGCCCGGGCUUCCGGGGCAUCACCCGGUCGGCGCGGUCGCGGCGCGCCGAGGGCCCGACGCCUGGCGGAGAAUCAGGGUUCGACUCCGGAGAGCGGGCCUGCGAGACGGCCCGCACAUCCAAGGACGGCAGCAGGCGCGGAACUUGCCCAAUGCGCGGCGCGCGAGGCAGCGACGGGGAGCGCGCGAGCGAGGCGGGCCCACAGCCCCCGCCGCGGAGCCGAGGGCAAGGUCUGGUGCCAGCAGCCGCGGUAAUUCCAGCUCGGCGAGCGUCGCGCGGCGCUGCUGCAGUUAAAACGCCCGUAGUUGGCCCCCCGCCGCCACGAGGAAACGGGAGCGCUCCAGGCAGGCCCGUUGGACCCGCCGCGUGGGA
rnacentral:rRNA from 1 species